CACAAGAACAAGAAGGAAUAGUAACCUCUCUCUUUGCAGUGCUUGAUACACUAGGAGGAGAGUUCCAAGCUAAGAACCUGAAGGAAAGUGAGCAGAAGGGGGAGACCUAAACUGGGGCAAAAACUUGGCACCAACAGGCACCAAAUUAAAGAGAAAACAAAAACUCUUCACUUUGCACAAUCGCUAUGUCAAGCGCCACAGGAUGCAUAUCCUCAGAUAGCUGCCGCUGCCGCUGCAACUGCAAGCACUGCUCCAGUGCUCCUGCUUUGCUUAUCUCCCAAAGCUGCGCUCCCUGUUCUUGGCGCCCGGCGCAACAAGGCUGCCAAAAAGGGUCCUGGCGAUCUGCAGCUUGAGCUGCCCCCGCUUGAGCGGCGGCCUCUUCUCCUUGUUGCUGCCGCAGCCGUUGUAGGGGUACCCGUACUCCAUUGCUAGCUUCUCCUCUCCUCUUCCUCUCUAGCUCGUGAGCUUCUUCUAGCUCCUGGUGCCCUGCGCUGCUGCUGGUGGAGAAGGCGAGAGCUGGAUGGAUGCCUUGGCCUGGUGCAGGGCACCGUGCAUUUUUAUAGCUGGAGUUUUCAGACAUGUUGCGUUGGGAUGUGGGAACGCGCGUUCUUCCUUGUUUACUCCAGCCGCUGGGGUCCGGGAAAAAAGUUAACUUUGUUUUCAGUCAUGUUCUCUGUUGCGAGUGGGAGCAGCGUCACUCUCACAGCAAUGUUC
rnacentral:lncRNA from 1 species